rnacentral:rRNA from 1 species
UUCUAGCGAGCCCAACCUCCCACCCGUGUUUACUGUACCUUAGUUGCUUCGGCGGGCCCGCCAUUCGUGGCCGCCGGGGGCUCUCAGCCCCGGGCCCGCGCCCGCCGGAGACACCACGAACUCUGUCUGAUCUAGUGAAGUCUGAGUUGAUUGUAUCGCAAUCAGUUAAAACUUUCAACAAUGGAUCUCUUGGUUCCGGCAUCGAUGAAGAACGCAGCGAAAUGCGAUAACUAGUGUGAAUUGCAGAAUUCCGUGAAUCAUCGAGUCUUUGAACGCACAUUGCGCCCCCUGGUAUUCCGGGGGGCAUGCCUGUCCGAGCGUCAUUGCUGCCCAUCAAGCACGGCUUGUGUGUUGGGUCGUCGUCCCCUCUCCGGGGGGGACGGGCCCCAAAGGCAGCGGCGGCACCGCGUCCGAUCCUCGAGCGUAUGGGGCUUUGUCACCCGCUCUGUAGGCCCGGCCGGCGCUUGCCGAACGCAAAUCAAUCUUUUUCCAGGUUGACCUCGGAUCAGGUAGGGAUACCCGCUGAACUUAAGCAUAUCAAUAA